AAUAAGUGCAGUUUUGCACUGUUCACGUUCAACGUUUGACCGUCCGUCUUAUUUGAAAAUUUUUUAUGAUUAGUAUUUUUAUUGCUAUUAGAUGAUAAAACAUGAAUAGUACUUUAUGUGUGACUAAAUGUUUUUAAUUUUUUCACAAAUUUUUCAAAUAAGACGGACGGUCAAACGCUAAACGUGAAUAGUGCAAAACUGCACUUAUU
rfam:Oryza sativa (indica cultivar-group) chromosome 3, whole genome shotgun sequence.